rnacentral:piRNA from 1 species
GAAUGAAUGAAUGAGGACUGCCUCUGGGA